AACUUUCAACAACGGAUCUCUUGGUUCUGGCAUCGAUGAGACGCAGCGAAUGCGAUAAGUAGUGUGAAUUGCAGAAUUCAGUGAAUCAUCGAAUCUUUGAACGCACAUUGCGCCCCUUGGUAUUCCAUGGGGCAUGCCUGUUCGAGCGUCAUU
rnacentral:rRNA from 1 species